GGAGACGGCCGGGGGGUCGCAGGGGAUUCUUCCCCUGAGGAAGGUCCGGACUCCGCAGGGCAGGCUGCUCGGGGAAACCCGAGAGGGGGCAACCCCUGGAAAGUGCCACAGAGAAUAGACCGCCAGCGGCUUCCUCUCUUUCGAGGGAGGGGGUGCGGGCAAGGGUGAAACGGUGGGGUAAGAGCCCACCGCCGGGGCCGCGAGGUUCCCGGGCACGGCAAACCCCAGCCGGAGCAAGGCCAAAUAGGGAGGCGCCUGAGGGUGGCCCGCCCGAUGCCUCCGGGUAGGCCGCAAAGAUAAAUGACCUCCCACGACAGAAUCCGGCCUAUAGGCCCUCUCCUCCG
rnacentral:RNase_P_RNA from 1 species